AUGGACAUGUGGGCCCAUGCUCAGUUUCUUGGAUUCCUGUUGCUAUGGUUUCCAGGUGCCAGAUGCGACAUCCAGAUGACCCAGUCUCCAUCCUCCCUGUCUGUAUCUCUGGGAGACAAUGUGACUUUCACUUGUGAGGCUAGUGAAAAUAUUUAUGGGCUUUUAGCAUGGUAUCAACAGAAACGAGGAAAAGCUCCUAAGCUCCUUAUCUAUGGUGCAACUAACUUGGAAGAUGGGGUUCCAACAAGGUUCAGUGGCAGUGGGUCUUGGACAAAUUAUUCUCUCACAAUCAGCAGCCUGGAGCCUGAAGAUAUUGCAACCUAUUACUGUCAGAAUAACCAUGUGUAUCCUCCCACAGUGAUGCAAGUCAUAACCUAA